GUGAAUGUCUCCCUGAGGAAUUCUACCUGGAGUCACUUUCUCUUCCAGUGAGACCCUGAGUUUUGAGAUGGUACAAGGCAGAAUGUUAAUUAAGCGCUAUAUUCAAAGUGAAAGUACCAGGAAAAUUCGGAAAAGGGAUAAAGAGCUGAGUUUGUCCUGGUAUAGGCAAGAAAGCCUUCAAAGUGGUGGUGGUGAAAUAAUUCGAACGUCUCCCUGGUGUUCCUUCUCCCUAACCCAUCUAUUUCAAGGUAAUGCUUUUUAGAUUUUAUUUAACUGCUUAUUUUUUCCUUUUUUUUUUUUUUUUUUUUUUUUUAGGUAGGGUCUCUCUCUGUUACCCAGGCUGGAGUGCAGAGGUGGGAUCACAGCUCACUGCAACCUUGACCUCCUGGGCUCAAGUGAUUCUCUCACCUCAGCCUCCCAAGUAGCUGGGACUAUGGGCAUAUGCUACCACUUCUGGCUAAUUUUUUAAUUUUUAAAGUUUUUGUAGAGAUGGGGUCUCACCAUGUUGCCCAGGCUCAUCUCAAACUCCUGGGUUCAAGCAGUCUUCCUGCCUCAGACUCCCAAAGUGCUGGGAUUACAGGCAUGAGCUACCGUACCUGGCCAACAGCUCUCUUAAGGUAUAACUGAUGUACAAUUAACUCUACAUAUUUAAAUUGUACAACUUGAACAACUUGAAUGAGUUUUGAUAUAUGUAUACACCUGUGAAACCAUCACCACAAUCAAGAUGACAAGUAUUUCCAUCACCCCAGAAUUUCCUCAUGCCCCUUUUUUAUCCUUCCUUCAUUCCUGUUCCCAGGCAUCCACUGAUCUGCUUCUGUCACUGUAGAUGAAUUUGCAUUUUCUAGAAUUUUAUAUAAAUGG
rnacentral:lncRNA from 1 species